GUCGAGCGGUAAGGCCCUUCGGGGUACACGAGCGGCGAACGGGUGAGUAACACGUGGGUAACCUGCCCUGUACUCUGGGAUAAGCCCGGGAAACUGGGUCUAAUACCGGAUAUGACCUUGGAUCGCAUCUUCUGGGGUGGAAAGUUCCGGCGGUACAGGAUGGACCCGCGGCCUAUCAGCUUGUUGGUGGGGUAAUGGCCUACCAAGGCGACGACGGGUAGCCGGCCUGAGAGGGUGACCGGCCACACUGGGACUGAGACACGGCCCAGACUCCUACGGGAGGCAGCAGUGGGGAAUAUUGCACAAUGGGCGAAAGCCUGAUGCAGCGACGCCGCGUGAGGGAUGACGGCCUUCGGGUUGUAAACCUCUUUCAGCAGGGACGAAGCGCAAGUGACGGUACCUGCAGAAGAAGCACCGGCUAACUACGUGC
rnacentral:rRNA from 1 species